rnacentral:rRNA from 1 species
UACAGGGGGAGCAAGCGGUAAUCGGAAUUACUGGGCGUAAAGCGCGCGUAGGUGGUUUGGUAAGUCGGUUGUGAAAUCCCCGGGCUUAACCUGGGAAUUGCAGUCGAUACUGUCUGACUCGAGUGUGGAAGAGGGAAGCGGAAUUUCCGGUGUAGCGGUGAAAUGCGUAGAUAUCGGAAGGAACACCAGUGGCGAAGGCGGCUUCCUGGUCCACCACUGACACUGAGUCGCGAAAGCGUGGGUAGCUAACAGG